AUGAUAUAUGACAGAUUCCAUCUAUUUAAUAGAUAAAUCUCAAAUAUUUAUAUUUUAAAUUUAUAAUAAAUUGCGAUUGGGUAAAAAUUUCUCUUUCUAACUAAUUCUUUGAAUAGGUGAAAAAACUUGGAGUGAUUUUAUUUGUUAGUCUUUUAGGGUUGGUAGAAGAAGUUAUUUGAUUAGACACAAAAUUAUUAGCAAACCUCUAAAUAUGUUAAUUUAUAAUAUUGGAUGGCUCGUGAAUGAAAAAUUUCUUCGGUUGGAAGUCUUUGGUGUUUCUUUACUAAGUGAAAGAAAGAAAAGUCUUAGCUAGGACAAUGUAACAGUGAAUUUUAUCUCCUCCAUCAAUUACAUUAUCUCAGUUUUGGAAAAAAUUCUUCAGUGAAAUCAAUUUUAUAUAUAUAUGAUGAUUUUACUGUUAACUAUCGAUUAUGAUGAAUUUUACAAGAGUUUCACUUCUAAUGAAAUUAUUGGACUUGCAUACAUCAGUUUUACUUUCAAAUCAGAUGUCUCAGCUAAGAAAAGACAUAACUUUUCUUCUGCCAUCUUCCUUUGUU
rnacentral:misc_RNA from 1 species